ensembl:lncRNA
CCAACAAGUCAGUAACACAGACAGCAAGGCUUCAAAACAAAGCAUUGCGCUGUACAGACUUAACUCCUGUUGUGCCACACUAUUUGCCAGAUGUCUGUGGAGUCGCUGUUCCCGGCACUUGAGAGGAGAGCCUGCAGCAAGCUUGCCUUGGUGACGCAACUCCAGUGGUGAAGAGGAGGCUCGGGGGCUCCUGAAAGGAGGCAGUAAUGAAGUGAGGGUUGGCCUCUUCUCCCAGCACCGACGUGGGCUGCUUGGACAUCCAGACACGGCUCCAGGGCUGCUGCGGUCUGCAAAUCCACCCAAGAGACUGAGGAAAUUUUGCCAGAUGGAACUCUCAGAAAAACCAGCAGUUGUGGACAAGGGGCCUUCAGGCCUGAGUUGAGGUCUGCUCCUUUUACCAAGCCAAACCAGAAAGCCCCAGUUUCAGGACAGUCCAUAUGGCAGAGCUGUGGAGGCUGGGACAUGAAAAGCCUGGAGAUUACCCAAUAAGGUGGUGAGCGACUGCAAGAGAAGAAAAAAGAAACAAGGAAGAGAAUUUAUGUUAGAG